UUGAACGCUGGCGGCCUGCUUUACCCCUGCAAGUCGAACGGUAACAGGUCUUCGGGUGCUGACGAGUGGCGAACGGGUGAGUAAUGCAUCGGAACGUACCCAGAGGUGGGGGAUAACGCAGCGAAAGCUGUGCUAAUACCGCAUGUGAUCUGAGGAUGAAAGCGGGGGACCGAGCAGCAAUGUUUGGCCUCGCGCCUUUGGAGCGGCCGAUGUCGGAUUAGCUAGUUGGUGGGGUAAAGGCCUACCAAGGCGACGAUCCGUAGCUGGUCUGAGAGGACGACCAGCCACACUGGGACUGAGACACGGCCCAGACUCCUACGGGAGGCAGCAGUGGGGAAUUUUGGACAAUGGGCGCAAGCCUGAUCCAGCAAUGCCGCGUGCGGGAAGAAGGCCUUCGGGUUGUAAACCGCUUUUGGCAGGAACGAAACGGUGUCCGCUAAUACCGGGCGCUAAUGACGGUACCUGCAGAAUAAGCACCGGCUAACUACGUG
rnacentral:rRNA from 1 species